ensembl:lncRNA
GGAUGAUAUUGUGGAUCCCCUUAGUGAAUUUUGCUUUUGCUGGCUGACGUGGGCUCAGUACUAUUUCCCUGCCUGGAAGGUCCUGGUCAUAUAAGGGAAGGAAAUGCAGACAGUCACAAACUUCAUCCUCCUGGAAUGAAAGAAAAACAUGCCUCCCUAGGAACACCUGUUACUGGUUUAAAUGUCUGUUUACGCUUGCCCUUAAAACAUGCUGAAACCCAAAGAAGGGUGGAGUUUGAGAAGGAAAAGACAGCUGAGAAAGAUCUGUCCUGCACAGGAGUUCCUCAACUGCUGUCUCUGCUUUUCAAUCACACUAUACUCUCUGGGUUCCAAACACAGGUCCACUUAGGAAAAUCAUACUCAGUGAAGAUAUUGUUUCCCCCUUCCAAAGUCGGAUCAAAGCCAGUGAAGAAAUUUCACUGUGAUAGUUCUGUUGAGUGAAUGAGUGACUGGGUAGGAACUUGGCUGGUAACCAAGGCAAAUCCACCAUAAGCCACUAUCUGCAUAGCCCACUGUCAAAACUCAGGGCUGCUUGUGAGAUUCUUUCAUAUGCUCUGCAACCAUGCCACUGGCUAUUUGAAUCUGUGGACAACUGUGAUAGCCCCCUCAGAAAAG